AUUGAACGCUGGCGGCAGGCCUAACACAUGCAAGUCGAACGAGUGGCGGACGGGUGAGUAAUGUCUGGGAAACAGCCCGAUGGAGGGGGAUAAAUACUGGAAAAGGUAGCUAAUACAGCAUAACAUCGGAUGUGACCAGAUGGGAGUAGCUAGUAGGGGGGGUGACGGCUCACCUAGGCGACGAACCCUAGCUGGUCUGAGAGGAUGACCAGCCCCACUGGAACUGAGACACGGUCCAGACUCCUACGGGAGGCAGCAGUGGGGAAUAUUGCACAAUGGGCGCAAGCCUGAUGCAGCCAUGCCGCGUGUAUGAAGAAGGCCUUCGGGUUGUAAAGUACUUUCAGCGAGGAGGCGUUACUCGCAGAAGAAGCACCGGCUAACUCCGUGCCAGCAGCCGCGGUAAUAC
rnacentral:rRNA from 1 species